rnacentral:misc_RNA from 1 species
GAUGAAGAACGUAGCGAAAUGCGAUAAGUAAUGUGAAUUGCAGAAUUCAGUGAAUCAUCGAGUCUUUGAACGCACAUUGCGCCCCCUGGUAUUCCGGGGGGCAUGCCUGUCCGAGCGUCAUUGCUGCCCUCAAGCCCGGCUUGUGUGUUGGGCCGUCGUCCCCCCUCCCGGGGGGACGGGCCCGAAAGGCAGCGGCGGCACCGCGUCCGGUCCUCGAGCGUAUGGGGCUUUGUCACCCGCUCGAUUAGGGCCGGCCGGGCGCCUGCCGACACAUCAAUCUUUUUUCCAGGUUGACCUCGGAUCAGGUAGGGAUACCCGCUGAACUUAAGCAUAUCAAUAAGCGGAGGA